GGAGCCUUACCCCUGCGGCGUCGACGGACUCACGCCGCACCAGCGGCUGUUCUUUGCUUUGUGCUCUCGCGUAUUCCCACGUCUACCCGCGGCGGUGUGAUGGUGCCAAGUCACUCGCACGCCCUCCACGCCCUCCCCAAGCUGGAGGCGAGGCUUGGGGCGCGACAGGAGACGAGGAAAGCAUUCAGACAUGGUGCUGACAUCAAGGUGCGAUUUGAAAAACUAGUCCGCGUCCUCAGUCUCGCGGAUAUCAUUGCCUCUCCUUCUCUUGACUCCUUGGUGAGCCUCGACCCGCGCGUCACCCCACGGCUCAGCGGCUUGUGGAGGUGCCCAUCACACGUCAGGAAUAUAAGCGUUCACCUAUG